rnacentral:lncRNA from 1 species
GUUUUGGAGCACGUGACCACAAAGGGCCCUUCCAGGGUUAAUCAUGCGACCAUCAUUACCAACAACUACUGAGCACUUAUUACAUACCAGGAACUGCUGGAAGUCAGGCAGUGACAAAUGCCCCUCUCGCUCUGCCAUCCAUUACAAGUUGGAAGGUGCCAUGUUCCAAUUACUAGAGACCCCAGUGGAGCUCAUGGAAAACCCUGCUCCAGGCUGCAGCCAUUACUCAGGCCCGGCAGGGCUGCCAGCAGAGCUGCCCAAGGCCCAGGCCCCACUGGACUCUGAACUCCUUAAAGGCAGAGACUCUUAUUAAUCUUUGUGAUCCCAGCCUCCAGCAAUGCCGUGGCAACCGGCAGAUGCUCAGUGAAUUUCUGCUAACAAACAGAGCUGCUCCAAGACUCAAAGGCAAUAACAGGUAUGAAAAGGCUCUACAAUGUAUAAAGAUAUGAAUAUGAGAGACAACUGAAACCUUGUAAAUAAAUGUUGAUAUCUCCUUU